UUAAGCGACUAAGCGUACACGGUGGAUGCCCUGGCAGUCAGAGGCGAUGAAGGACGUGCUAAUCUGCGAUAAGCGUCGGUAAGGUGAUAUGAACCGUUAUAACCGGCGAUUUCCGAAUGGGGAAACCCAGUGUGUUUCGACACACUAUCAUUAACUGAAUCCAUAGGUUAAUGAGGCGAACCGGGGGAACUGAAACAUCUAAGUACCCCGAGGAAAAGAAAUCAACCGAGAUUCCCCCAGUAGCGGCGAGCGAACGGGGAGCAGCCCAGAGCCUGAAUCAGUGUGUGUGUUAGUGGAAGCGUCUGGAAAGGCGCGCGAUACAGGGUGACAGCCCCGUACACAAAAAUGCACAUAUUGUGAGCUCGAUGAGUAGGGCGGGACACGUGGUAUCCUGUCUGAAUAUGGGGGGACCAUCCUCCAAGGCUAAAUACUCCUGACUGACCGAUAGUGAACCAGUACCGUGAGGGAAAGGCGAAAAGAACCCCGGCGAGGGGAGUGAAAAAGAACCUGAAACCGUGUACGUACAAGCAGUGGGAGCACAGAGCAAUCUGUGUGACUGCGUACCUUUUGUAUAAUGGGUCAGCGACUUAUAUUCUGUAGCAAGGUUAACCGAAUAGGGGAGCCGAAGGGAAACCGAGUCUUAACUGGGCGUUAAGUUGCAGGGUAUAGACCCGAAACCCGGUGAUCUAGCCAUGGGCAGGUUGAAGGUUGGGUAACACUAACUGGAGGACCGAACCGACUAAUGUUGAAAAAUUAGCGGAUGACUUGUGGCUGGGGGUGAAAGGCCAAUCAAACCGGGAGAUAGCUGGUUCUCCCCGAAAGCUAUUUAGGUAGCGCCUCGUGAAUUCAUCUCCGGGGGUAGAGCACUGUUUCGGCAAGGGGGUCAUCCCGACUUACCAACCCGAUGCAAACUGCGAAUACCGGAGAAUGUUAUCACGGGAGACACACGGCGGGUGCUAACGUCCGUCGUGAAGAGGGAAACAACCCAGACCGCCAGCUAAGGUCCCAAAGUCAUGGUUAAGUGGGAAACGAUGUGGGAAGGCCCAGACAGCCAGGAUGUUGGCUUAGAAGCAGCCAUCAUUUAAAGAAAGCGUAAUAGCUCACUGGUCGAGUCGGCCUGCGCGGAAGAUGUAACGGGGCUAAACCAUGCACCGAAGCUGCGGCAGCGACACUGUGUGUUGUUGGGUAGGGGAGCGUUCUGUAAGCCUGUGAAGGUGUACUGUGAGGUAUGCUGGAGGUAUCAGAAGUGCGAAUGCUGACAUAAGUAACGAUAAAGCGGGUGAAAAGCCCGCUCGCCGGAAGACCAAGGGUUCCUGUCCAACGUUAAUCGGGGCAGGGUGAGUCGACCCCUAAGGCGAGGCCGAAAGGCGUAGUCGAUGGGAAACAGGUUAAUAUUCCUGUACUUGGUGUUACUGCGAAGGGGGGACGGAGAAGGCUAUGUUGGCCGGGCGACGGUUGUCCCGGUUUAAGCGUGUAGGCUGGUUUUCCAGGCAAAUCCGGAAAAUCAAGGCUGAGGCGUGAUGACGAGGCACUACGGUGCUGAAGCAACAAAUGCCCUGCUUCCAGGAAAAGCCUCUAAGCAUCAGGUAACAUCAAAUCGUACCCCAAACCGACACAGGUGGUCAGGUAGAGAAUACCAAGGCGCUUGAGAGAACUCGGGUGAAGGAACUAGGCAAAAUGGUGCCGUAACUUCGGGAGAAGGCACGCUGAUAUGUAGGUGAAGUCCCUCGCGGAUGGAGCUGAAAUCAGUCGAAGAUACCAGCUGGCUGCAACUGUUUAUUAAAAACACAGCACUGUGCAAACACGAAAGUGGACGUAUACGGUGUGACGCCUGCCCGGUGCCGGAAGGUUAAUUGAUGGGGUCAGCGCAAGCGAAGCUCUUGAUCGAAGCCCCGGUAAACGGCGGCCGUAACUAUAACGGUCCUAAGGUAGCGAAAUUCCUUGUCGGGUAAGUUCCGACCUGCACGAAUGGCGUAAUGAUGGCCAGGCUGUCUCCACCCGAGACUCAGUGAAAUUGAACUCGCUGUGAAGAUGCAGUGUACCCGCGGCAAGACGGAAAGACCCCGUGAACCUUUACUAUAGCUUGACACUGAACAUUGAGCCUUGAUGUGUAGGAUAGGUGGGAGGCUUUGAAGUGUGGACGCCAGUCUGCAUGGAGCCGACCUUGAAAUACCACCCUUUAAUGUUUGAUGUUCUAACGUGGACCCGUGAUCCGGGUUGCGGACAGUGUCUGGUGGGUAGUUUGACUGGGGCGGUCUCCUCCUAAAGAGUAACGGAGGAGCACGAAGGUUGGCUAAUCCUGGUCGGACAUCAGGAGGUUAGUGCAAUGGCAUAAGCCAGCUUGACUGCGAGCGUGACGGCGCGAGCAGGUGCGAAAGCAGGUCAUAGUGAUCCGGUGGUUCUGAAUGGAAGGGCCAUCGCUCAACGGAUAAAAGGUACUCCGGGGAUAACAGGCUGAUACCGCCCAAGAGUUCAUAUCGACGGCGGUGUUUGGCACCUCGAUGUCGGCUCAUCACAUCCUGGGGCUGAAGUAGGUCCCAAGGGUAUGGCUGUUCGCCAUUUAAAGUGGUACGCGAGCUGGGUUUAGAACGUCGUGAGACAGUUCGGUCCCUAUCUGCCGUGGGCGCUGGAGAACUGAGGGGGGCUGCUCCUAGUACGAGAGGACCGGAGUGGACGCAUCACUGGUGUUCGGGUUGUCAUGCCAAUGGCACUGCCCGGUAGCUAAAUGCGGAAGAGAUAAGUGCUGAAAGCAUCUAAGCACGAAACUUGCCCCGAGAUGAGUUCUCCCUGACCCUUUAAGGGUCCUGAAGGAACGUUGAAGACGACGACGUUGAUAGGCCGGGUGUGUAAGCGCAGCGAUGCGUUGAGCUAACCGGUACUAAUGAACCGUGAGGCUUAACCUU
rnacentral:rRNA from 1 species